CACAUUCCAUCAGUUCGGCUGGAUCAGUGACAGGUGCUGCAUGGCUGUCGUCAGCUCGUGUCGUGAGAUGUUGGGUUAAGUCCCGCAACGAGCGCAACCCUCAUCCUCAGUUGCCAUCAUUUAGUUGGGCACUCCGAGGAAACUGCCGGUGAUAAGCCGGAGGAAGGUGGGGAUGACGUCAAGUCCUCAUGGCCCUUACGCGCUGGGCUACACACGUGCUACAAUGGCAACUACAGUGGGCAGCGACCUCGCGAGGGGUAGCUAAUCUCCAAAAGUUGUCUCAGUUCGGAUUGUUCUCUGCAACUCGAGAGCAUGAAGGCGGAAUCGCUAGUAAUCGCGGAUCAGCAUGCCGCGGUGAAUACGUUCCCAGGCCUUGUACACACCGCCCGUCACACCAUGGGAGUUGGUUUCACCCGAAGGCAGUGCUCUAACCCGCAAGGGAGGAAGCUGACCACGGUGGGAUCAGCGACUGGGGUGAAGUCGUAACAAGGUAAGCGUAGUGCU
rnacentral:rRNA from 1 species